UACAGAGGGUGCAAGCGUUAAUCGGAAUUACUGGGCGUAAAGCGAGCGUAGUCGGUUAUUUAAGUCGGAUGUGAAAUCCCCGGGCUCAACCUGGGAAUUGCAUUCGAUACUGGAUAGCUAGAGUUCGGCAGAGGGAAGCGGAAUUUCGGGUGUAGCGGUGAAAUGCGUAGAUAUCCGAAGGAACAUCAGUGGCGGAAAGCGGCUCCUGGACCAGAACUGACGAUCAGGCUCGAAAGCGUGGGGAGCAAACAGG
rnacentral:rRNA from 1 species